AUCAGCUGAAAAUAGACUACAUCCUGCAAAUCUGCAAACUCCCGUCGGUGCCGUCGGAUUUGAUACAAACGGUCAGAUCUCAUGUUCCUUUCCACCACCAUGCAGUUUGUAGAAACCCCCCUACACAUCUAUUAUUUGCGUCAUCCAUCCCUUUCCCCUUGUGUCUGGAACAGCAGGUAGACAGAACCCACGAGAUCCCCUUUCUUCUCCAUCUCCGUGCUCUCCAUUCCCCAUCAUAGAUCGAGCAGGAUAGCUCCAUGGAUACGGCUCCCCUGCCGGUUUAGUUCAGCACCUUACCGCCCAGCUACCUCCUUGUUUGCACGCAGCUCGAAUCCAACAUUUCUCCGCCUCGAUCUGUGCGCCGCCAUGCUCUCGGUUGACGCCGUUCAAAGCUUCGUUCUCGUGCCGCCCAACCGCACUUGGUCCACAACGCCGCCGCCUCCUUCCUAGAUUCACCCACCUUACGAAGCAGGGUGGGGGCGUUUGCAUCCAGUACCAAGACCCUCUCCGUUCACGUUGUAGGAUGUACGCCUGGAGAACCUGAAAUGCAGUGUUUUUUAUAUAUUUCAGUUCAUACUCGAGAUUACGACUAGGGUCAACUUAUUGAGAGAAAGAACCGUACCAAUUGUUCCUGCACAUGAUGGUCUAAGCUGCUACAGAAAAGCAGUUUGUGGGAUUCUAAAAUAGCAAUCAAAGAAAUUUCUUUACUAUCAA